UACAUGGGGUGCAAACGUUGCUCGGAAUUAUUGGGCGUAAAGCGCACGUAGGCGGUUCGUUAAGUCGGAUGUGAAAGCCCUCGGCUCAACUGAGGAAGUGCACCCGAAACUGGCGAGCUUGAGUACGAAAGAGGAUCGCGGAAUUCCCGGUGUAGAGGUGAAAUUCGUAGAGAUCGGGAGGAACACCAGUGGCGAAGGCGGCUACCUGGACCAGCACUGACACUGAGGCACGAAAGCGUGGGGAGCAAACAGG
rnacentral:rRNA from 1 species